rnacentral:rRNA from 1 species
UCAAAAACAUGUCUUUUUGAAAAUAAUUUAAAGUCUAAUCUGCCCACUGAUAAUUAUUAAAGGGCUGCAGUAUAUUGACUGUACAAAGGUAGCAUAAUCAUUAGUCUUUUAAUUGAAGACUUGUAUGAAAGAUUUGAUGAAAUAUAAACUGUCUCUAAUUUAUGAAUAUAAAUUAAUUUUUUAAUUAAAAAGUUAAAAUAAUAUUAAAAGACGAGAAGACCCUAUAAAGUUUUAUAAUUUAUUUAUUUAUUAUUAAGUAUAAAAAUAAAUAUAAUAAUUAUUAUAAAUUAUUAUAUUGGGGUGAUAGAAAAAUUAAAUAAACUUUUUUUAAAAAAUAAACAUAUAUAAAUGAAAAAUUGAUCCAUUAUUAAUGAUUAAAAGAAAAAAUUACUUUAGGGAUAACAGCGUAAUAUUUUUUUUUAGUUCAAAUAAGAAAAAAAGUUUGCGACCUCGAUGUUGGAUUAAGAUAAAAUUUAAAUGCAAAAGUUUAAAAUUUUGAUCUGUUCGAUCAUUAAAAUCUUACAUGAUCUGAGCU